CUGACGAGUGGCGGACGGGUGAGUAAUGUCUGGGAAACUGCCCGAUGGAGGGGGGUAACUACUGGAAACGGUAGCUAAUACCGCAUAACGUCGCAAGACCAAAGAGGGGGACCUUAGGGCCUCUUGCCAUCGGAUGUGCCCAGAUGGGAUUAGCUAGUAGGUGGGGUAAUGGCUCACCUAGGCGACGAUCCCUAGCUGGUCUGAGAGGAUAACCAGCCACACUGGAACUGAGACACGGUCCCG
rnacentral:rRNA from 1 species